AAGGAGGAUUGCGUUUAUAUCUUAGAGUAUAAAAGUUUCGAAUCUUUUUUUUAUAUGCUCAUGCUUCUUUUUUUCCUGUAAACUAAACCUGAAAGGAGUUAGAUUCAACUCACUUGCUGAACCCAAGAGGAAUUGGGUCAGCUUGUGACUGCACCCAAGAAUGGUUAGGGAUGAGGGCACCAUAGCCCAACAUGGAGUUGGGCGCAGACACGUCCUUGACCCGAUAUGAGGUUGGGUGCAGACGCAUCAUAACUCAACAUGGAGUUGGGCACGAACACGUCCUUGACCUAAUAUGGGAUUGGUCGCAGACGCAUCCUUACCCAACUUGAGAUUGGGUGCUAACGCGUCACGAUCUAAUUUAGUGUUGGGUGUGGACCCAUCAUGACCCAAAUUAGUGUUGAGCACGAACGCGCCUUUACCCAACUUAGAGUUGGGGAUGGGCACUCCAUGGGUUAAUCUAGGGUUGGACUCGGACUCAUCCUUGUCUAACUUAGAGUUAGGUAUGAGCAUGUAUGACCUAAUAUGAAGUUGACCGUUGAAAAUACAUAAUCACAUUUUAAAUUAUGAUUUUCAUAUGAUAUUUUAUAAAUGAGAGAGGGUUUUAGAAAAUCAUGAACCAUCAAUUACUACUGAACACUUCAUUAAUCUAAUAGCACCAGUAAUGGACAGAGCUUUCUUGUCUGUGUCUGCAUAUGUGGGAGAGAAAGUCAGGGAGAGAGGUUUAGACACCUCACAAAAGUUCUGAAGGAAACACCAACGAACCGUUUGACCAUGGCCCCAUCACUGCUUCCACUUGACUGCUGCAUAAAUGAGAAUCUGUGGUGAGAGGAAAACUGGAUUGGGAAGCUCAAAAAUCUAUUGCCUACUCACUCUCCAUUUCUUCUCAAUAAGCACUUCUAUCUUUACCUUGUUACCGAGUCAUUAUUAUUUCUAAUCUGCAUAAUUAGAUGAUUAAGAAUGGCGAAUCCAUUCUGUAGAUCAUAUCAAAGGUUGCUAAUCAUCCUCGUUUUAGCUUAGGUUGAUUGAUAUCAUUUGCGUAAUUCCUAGAUAUUAAGUUUUAUGAUGAUCUUGAUGAGAUAAGCAUCAAGUUAGGUGCAUGAGAGGCAUAUAUUUAAUUAUUUGAUUGAAUAAUUAAGUUCUUGAUGAGAUAAGCAUCAGAAAUUAUGCGUAAUACCUUGUUUAGUGAUACAAUUAAUUAAGAUAGUGCUGGUUCUUAAUGAUAAAUUCCGAGUGCUUCAGUAAAAAUACUUUAACAUUAUGUUUAAAAUAUUCAACAUGCAUUUUUUUAUACCUGCUUUAUUUAUUUAUAAGACUAUAGUUUUAGCGUAGAAAAUGACGACAUACGAGUCAAUAUUUCUCUCUGGCAUUGCUUUUUAUCCUCAAUAAUUCAGAAAAUAACAGACGUGAUGAACUUGCUAAUUAAGAUUCAAUAUAUUACAUCAUGACUAGAAAACGACGUGACGUGCAAGUGGGUUCACUACAGAAAUGCUCAUCACCUAUAUGCUUGGUGGCAAUGUUACCUUUUACCAAUGGAUUGAAUCAAUUUAACUAUAUAAAGGAGGGGAGAGAUCUGCCCCUUCCAAUAAAUGUAAAAUUUCACACUCACAUGGAAAUUGGAGGGAGGGAGAUGGAUUUCAAUCAAGUAGCUGAUAAACCUUGUGCUGUUUGCAUACCAUUCCCAGCUCAGGGUCACAUAGCCCCAAUGCUAAAGUUAGCAAACUCUUACAUUUUAAUGGCUUCCACAUAACCUUUGUCAGUACUGAGUGUAACCACACACGACUUCUCAAAUCCAGAGGUUCUAACUCUCUGGAUGGCUCACCGGACUUUUGGUUCGAAGCUAUACCUGACGGCCUCCCACAGACAGAUGAUUCUGAUGCAACUCAGGGCAUCCCUUCUAUCUGUGAAUCCACUGCAAAAAACUGCUCGGUCCCUUUUCGCAAUAUACUUCACAGGCUCGAUGACAGUGCUUCAUCUCCAACGUCCAGCCGGUGACCUGUGAUGAUUCUGAUGGUGCUGUGUCUGUACACAUGAUGCUGCUGAGGAAUUUGGGAUUCCUAACCUACUGUUACAUACACACAGUGCCUGUGGGCUCUUAGGCUGCACACAGUUCCGCGUUCUUGUUGAAAGGGGCUUAACACCUCUCAAAGAAACGAAGGAUAGAGGCAUGUUAACAAGUUAGUGUCCACAAGAGGAGAUUUUAAAGCAUCCAUCUAUAGGAGUAUUUGCAAGUCACAUGGGAUGGAAUUCGGUCCUUGAGAUGAGAGCCUUAGUUGUGGAGUUCCAUUUCUUUUUUUCCAUUUUUUGCAGAGCAGCAAAACAGUUGGUGUUCUUGCAGCAAAUGGGAUAUCGGCAUGGAGAUAAAGGGUGAUGUAAAGAGAGAUCAAGUUGGGAAGCUUUAUGAGAAGUAAUGGAGGGAGAAAGGGGUAAAUAAAUGAAAAGGAAGGCGAUGGAACGGAAGACGAAGGCAGAAGAAGCUGCCAGCCCCGGUAGUUUUUCUUGCAGGAACUUCAAGAAUUUGCUAACAGACACUCUUUUGGUGCAAACAAAGAAAUAAUUUUGAGAAAGGUAAGUAUAUUUGUAUCAACAAGAAAAAAAUCAAUGCAAUAGAUUUUCUCUGCCCUUUAACAAGAAAUCAAUGUAAUGAUUGUUGUGUACCAAAUAAAACAAGCUAUGGUUCACCCAA